rnacentral:rRNA from 1 species
UACGUAGGGUGCAAGCGUUGUCCGGAUUUAUUGGGCGUAAAGAGCUCGUAGGCGGCUUGGUAAGUCGGAAGUUAAACCAGGAGGCUCAACCUCCUGUUGCUUUCGAUACUGCUAUGGCUUGAGUCUGGUAGGGGGAUGACGGAAUUCCUGGUGUAGCGGUGAAAUGCGCAGAUAUCAGGAGGAACACCGAUGGCGAAGGCAGGUCUCUGGGCCACUACUGACGUGAGAAGCGAAAAGCAUGGGGGAGCGAAACAGG